GAGAGAAAUGUUGUUAAUGACGAUAUUAAACUCUGAUUGCCUGUUCCAGUGGUUUCUAGGAAACAGAUCCCUUAAAGACAGUGUUACCUCAUCCUGCAUGUAGUCGUCGCUGGUCGAUUCAGCUGAGACGUCUUCUGUUGUACAACUGGAACUUUUACCUGUAAGUAUUAAAGCUGCUGAUGAUUCUGAAA